rnacentral:rRNA from 1 species
GUGAGGAAUAUUGGUCAAUGGGCGGAAGCCUGAACCAGCCAAGUCGCGUGAGGGAAGACGGUCCUAUGGAUUGUAAACCUCUUUUGCAGGGGAGCAAGGCGCGGUACGUGUACCGCGAAGGAGAGUACCCUGAGAAAAAGCAUCGGCUAACUCCGUGCCAGCAGCCGCGGUAAUACGGAGGAUGCGAGCGUUAUCCGGAUUUAUUGGGUUUAAAGGGUGCGCAGGCGGACUGUUAAGUCAGCGGUAAAAUGUCGGUGCUCAACACCGGCCGGCCGUUGAAACUGGCAGCCUUGAGUGAGCGAGAAGUAUGCGGAAUGCGUGGUGUAGCGGUGAAAUGCAUAGAUAUCACGCAGAACUCCGAUUGCGAAGGCAGCAUACCGGCGCUCAACUGACGCUCAGGCACGAAAGCGUGGGUAUCGAACAGGCUUAGAAACCCUAGUAGUCC